UUAAAGCCCGAUAGGUAAAGUGGAGCUCUACCCUCUGGUUCAGCUUCAGCUUUAAAGCAAACUAUCUUUAGCUUCUGCAGAGGAGCUUCGCUAUCCCUCGAAAAUGGCUUCCGUUUCUUUUCUUCGGCUUUCCCCGAUUACCUCUCCCAAAACCCUAGCCAAACCCUAUCCUUUUUCUUCCUUUGCCCCUCCUUUACUUGUCUUUCUCAAAUCACCUCCUCUCACCCCUCCCUCACUAAAGCCCACCACCACACGUAUGUCUUACAAUCCCACUCCAGCCACUGAACGCUUAAUCUCAGCCGUUGCUUACACUCUUCCUUUCUUCAAUUCUCUCCAAUAUGGCCGCUUCCUUUUCGCUCAAUACCCAUCUCUGGGUCUUCUUUUUGACCCCCUUAUCCCUCUCUUAGACCUCUAUAGAUCAAUUCCAUAUGCUAGUUUUGUGGCUUUUUUCGCUCUUUAUUUGGGUGUUGUUAGAAACCCAAGCUUUAGCCAGUAUGUCAGGUUCAAUUCAAUGCAAGCUGUCACUUUAGAUGUGCUUUUGGUGGUGCCCUUGCUUUUGGCCCGAAUCUUCAAUCCAGGUCGGAGCGGAUUAGGGUUUAAGCUCAUGGUUUGGGGCCACAAUGCUGUGUUUUUGUUCAGUUGUUUCUGCUUUGUUUAUGGGUUAGUGAGUUGUGUUCUGGGUAAGACUCCUUAUUUGCCAUUUGUUGGUGAAGCUGCUGGUAGGCAAGUCUAGACUGAACCCUUGCUCUUUUCUGGUUUCUUUUCCUGGUAAAACAUGGUUGAAGCACGAGGUCAACGUUUGAAGCUCGAGGCAAGUGUAGGGUGCAAGUGUAUUAAGGCUGGGUGGGGGAGAGUUUCGUAGUGGGAGUGUUCUUCUGGGGCUUUUACUUGCAAGUAACUGAGUUAUUAUAGAACUUUAUCUGUUCCCAUAUGGAUUGUUUGCAAGUGUUUUGUCUUUUAAUCCUGUUGCUUUCAUUUAAAAAUAAUAAUUUUGGCUAUUCAUUGAGCAGGAUUUAUAGAUGAACAAUCUGAUGUGAUUUCAGAAGUAUUUAUUUCUUUUGGUUAUUUUGUCUCAUUAUUGUCUUGAUUAUAUUCCGCUUUGUUAAAGCCAGCAGUCUUGAACUAGGUUCAAUGGCUUGAUAUUUAAUGAGCUUAAUAAGAAUUCAGCACAUAUUCUUAUCUCUGUAGUCACAAUGUUGAUGCCAUACUUUUUUUGUAUUGUUACUGAAAUUUAUGGGUAUGUUGAGAAAUUGAGAGGCAUUUUCUUUUAAAGAUUGUUAAUUUCUUGUCCUUUUUUUUAAAACAUUUAUGAUUGUUUCUUGGGGGUUUGGGAAAUGUCAGAAUGCUUUGCCUUUAUGAUUUUUACCAAGCAUGCGUGCCAUUGCUUUUUUCCUUAAAACAUGCAUUGCAUUUGAGAUGAGUUUAAUUGUUUUUUAUUCCCUUAAUUGAUCAUUCCCAUUCUUUAUGAAAGGUUCAAGUGUGAAACACUGGUUCUCAUGACAGAAGCAUCUCAACUAGUGGGUGUCAACUCGCUUAACUUUGCAUUGUCCUAACUCCUAAAAGACUAGGUAGCAAAUUCCAGUUAUUUUCAGAUGGGAUGGAGGGAUACUUUUCUUUUGUGAUCCAGCCAACCCUUGAAACCAAGAGGGAAAAUCUUGGCCCAGAAAAUCUCUAGUUCUUCAUGGAAGGAGUACGUCUCAAGUUGAAUCUGGAGACGUAGAUGUAUCCCAAUAUUUUUAGCAUAAAAUGUGGGAAAUACUACAGAUUUGCUAUCACUGAGAGAUGGGGCGUGAGGGCUGUGUCUUACUAGGAGCCAUUGAUUAGGAAUGCUAGGGUGGCUGGGAUUGGAAAUCUGGAGUGUAAAGUGCGUGAAUAGAAAAAGGGGAGGUGAUUCUAUGAUGGUUGCUUUAUUAACUAAUCAGGAGCAGAUUCCUCAUUAGACCUGGGAUUUGGGGGCAUUGGAGACUUGAAACAUAUUGUAAUUUGACUGAAUAUAGAUUGAAAAAUUUUGCUAGCUCUUGUAGUUUGAAUGUCCAUGCUUUUGGCAAAAGAGCAUGUGACAAUCAGAGACCUCCCUAAACAUGAAUUCUUUUGUUUGCAGUUUACUUUCUUUGGAGAAAACCACAUGGUAGAUUCAUAUGGAUUCAUAUUUCCAUUACUAAAAUUUAUUUCAGUUUGUUCAAAUGGAAGGCUUAUGUUUAAAAGUUAUGGUGUCCAUACUAUUAUUUGGAAUUAAUUGAAGUGAAAUAAAUAUUGCAAAGCUUUAAUGGGUGGCUGUGUUAAUAAUUCGGUUGGACAUUCAUAGGUAU
rnacentral:misc_RNA from 1 species